rnacentral:rRNA from 1 species
CAGCAGCCGCGGUAAUACGAAGGGGGCUAGUGUUGCUCGGAAUUACUGGGCGUAAAGGGAGCGUAGGCGGAUCGUUAAGUUGGGGGUGAAAGCCCGGGGCUCAACCUCGGAACUGCCUUCAAUACUGGCGAUCUUGAGUAUGAGAGAGGUGUGUGGAACUCCGAGUGUAGAGGUGAAAUUCGUAGAUAUUCGGAAGAACACCAGUGGCGAAGGCGACACACUGGCUCAUUACUGACGCUGAGGCUCGAAAGCGUGGGGAGCAAACAGGAUUAGAUACCCGUGUAGUCCCUGUCUCUUUACA